GCCACUGAAAUGUGAUGCGAGGUGUCCUGCUGGCUCAGUAUACCUCUCCUGCAGUUAUUGUCAGCAGCUGUCAGCCGAUGUUUGUAUAAUGCUGGACGUUUCCCUUCAUUAGCUGGUUCGCCCAGGUGCUGUCCAUCACUAGAUCGCUGUAGCCCCGGACUUGCUUUCCCUAUUACAGGCUGAACAGGGGGCCGGCGCUUGUGUCUGUGCUUUGCCCGCUGCUGUCAAUCUUCACAAGACCUUAGACACUCCCUGUCAGCUGCUGGACUCUGAUAAGGUGCCUCUCUUCCUCCUCACCACUCAACAGCUGCCUUGCUAGAGGAUGGACCACCUUUGUGCCUGUCAGAUUAGGAGCCUUCUCCGGGGACCCCACCAAAUCAGUGAUGGUUGAUGAAACCCACCACCAUUAUGUUUUCUUAAGAAACGGUGGUGGUGAGAAUAAGCUGAGAAUUGAAAGCUUGAAUCUCUUGCCAGAAGGGUGAUAUCUUUCCUCCCUACUCUACCUUCCCUGUGCUACAUCCCUCCUAGAGCCCGAAAUUCCCUGGAUGUGUGGAGGCAAGGACAGACCGUAGGGACUCCAACAGAUUAAGUUGUUGCUAUACCGAAGAAACAGAGACCAUCCUUAACCAACUGAACGU